CCUACGGGCGGCAGCAGUGGGGAAUAUUGCGCAAUGCGGGUAACCCUGAUGCAGCGACGCCGCGUGAGUGAAGAAGUAUUUCGGUACGUAAAGCUCUAUCAGCAGGGAAGAAAAUGACGAUACCUGACUAAGAAUCCCCUGCUAACUACGUGCCAGCAGCCGCGGUAAUACGUAGGGGGCAAGCGUUAUCCGGAUUUACUGGGUGUAAAGUGGGCGUAGACGGCAGUGCAAGUCAGGAGUGAAAUCCUAUGGCUUAACCAUGGUACGGCUAUGGAAACUGUGCAGCUAGAGUGCAGGAGAGGUAAGCGGAAUUCCUAGUGUAGCGGUGAAAUGCGUAGAUAUUAGGAGGAACACCAGUGGCGAAGGCGGCUUACUGGACUGUAACUGACGUUGAGGCGCGAAAGCGUGGGGAGCAAACAGGAUUAGAUACCCUGGUAGUC
rnacentral:rRNA from 1 species